rnacentral:rRNA from 1 species
AUGCACGCUGGCUGCGUGCCUAAUACCUGCCAGUCGAGCGAACAGACGAGGAGCUUGCUCCUCUGACGUUAGCGGCGGACGGGUGAGUAACACGUGGAUAACCUACCUAUAAGACUGGGAUAACUUCGGGAAACCGGAGCUAAUACCGGAUAAUAUAUUGAACCGCAUGGUUCAAUAGUGAAAGACGGUUUUGCUGUCACUUAUAGAUGGAUCCGCGCCGCAUUAGCUAGUUGGUAAGGUAACGGCUUACCAAGGCGACGAUGCGUAGCCGACCUGAGAGGGUGAUCGGCCACACUGGAACUGAGACACGGUCCAGACUCCUACGGGAGGCAGCAGUAGGGAAUCUUCCGCAAUGGGCGAAAGCCUGACGGAGCAACGCCGCGUGAGUGAUGAAGGUCUUCGGAUCGUAAAACUCUGUUAUUAGGGAAGAACAAAUGUGUAAGUAACUAUGCACGUCUUGACGGUACCUAAUCAGAAAGCCACGGCUAACUACGUG